rnacentral:tRNA from 1 species
GGGCCUAUAGCUCAAUGGUUAGAGCAGUCGGCUCAUAACCGAUUGGUUGGGGGUUCAAGUCCCUCUGGGCCCACCA